GCUGGGCGUGGUAGUGCACGCCUGUAAUCCCAGCUACUAGGGAAGCUGAGGUAGGAGAAUUGCUUGAACCCAGGAGAUGGAGGUUGCAGUGAGCCGAGACCGUGCCACUGCACUCCAGCCUGGGUGAAAGAGCAAGACUCCAUCUCGG
rnacentral:SRP_RNA from 2 species